rnacentral:tRNA from 2 species
AGGCCAGUGGCUCAAUUGGUAGAGCGCUCGUCUCCAAAACGAGUGGUUGUGGGUUCAAGUCCUGCCUGGCCUGCCU